rnacentral:rRNA from 1 species
GACGAACGCUGGCGGCGUGCUUAACACAUGCAAGUCGAACGAUGAAGCCGGAGCUUGCUCCGGUGGAUUAGUGGCGAACGGGUGAGUAACACGUGAGCAAUCUGCCCUUGACUCUGGGAUAACUGCGGGAAACUGUAGCUAAUACCGGAUACGACACCUUGGGGCAUCCCAGGGUGUGGAAAGAAUUUCGGUCAAGGAUGAGCUCGCGGCCUAUCAGCUAGUUGAUGAGGUAAUGGCUCACCAAGGCGACGACGGGUAGCCGGCCUAAGAGGGUGACCGGCCACACUGGAACUGAGACACGGUCCAGACUCCUACGGGAGGCAGCAGUGGGGAAUAUUGCACAAUGGGCGAAAGCCUGAUGCAGCAACGCCGCGUGAGGGAUGAAGGCCUUCGGGUUGUAAACCUCUUUUAGCAGGGAAGAAGCGAAAGUGACGGUACCUGCAGAAAAAGCACCGGCUAACUACGUGCCAGCCGCCGCAGUAA